UUGAUCUUUUGUAAAAAGUGUUAUGGAAUGCAAACUAUAUGUGAAUGCAAUAGUUAUGUAAGUGAAUGGCAUAGUUUAAAUGAGAGUGGAUUAUGUAUAGGAUUGAAGUUAAAAAGGUAAAAGUCGUAUGCGAGAAACUAUUGCAUUAUGAACUUGCUAGUUGAUGUGUUAUGUUCGGUAGUAAUAAAGUAUGAUGAUACAUAUCCCUUAUAUGCGUUAAUAAGCUAACGAAAGUCAAAUAUUGCAUGAUUUGAAAGCCGAAUGAACGAAUUUUUGUAAGCUAACCGUGUUACAAUUAUGAUGACAUGUAUGGAUAGGAGUCAUGUCAAUAGAGGCACAAAUAUGGAAGCGCUACGGGUCGAAGGUAAACACGGAAGCUAUGUGUAAAUUCGGAUGCACGAGGUAAGUAAACUCCCCGACUCCUUCCUUAGUAGUAAAAGAGGUUAUUUGUAUGAUAAAUGUUAGCAAUUAUGCAAGAUGCUUUAUUGACAUUCGUAACAAGUAAGGAGCAUUAAGGACGUGAUUUCUGAAUCACUUCCUACACCAUUUUAGGAAGGCUAUAUGCGAGUCACUUAAGUAUGGUAAUCUAAGUUUAUUUAGGAUUCGGUUAUUGGAGGUGAUGGUAUUCGCUAAGAAGACCGAACGGGUUAAAAUAAGAGUAUAUUAGUGUAGUUUUUAUGCAUAUAAAGAUGUGAAAACAAUGCAGAAUUGUGCAAAUUUUCAUGUUAAUGGUUGUUAAAAUAGUGCAGUU
rnacentral:lncRNA from 1 species